rnacentral:lncRNA from 1 species
UAAUAACUAAAAUUUCAUUCCUGAAAAUAAUAAUCAAGAUAAGAAAUAUAGCAACAAAUAAAAGUAUUUGUAUUUCAAUAAUUUACGCGGGUUACAAUCUCUGAACAAUCUUAAGUUUAAAAGAUGUAAUCCUCUUAUUCUUUUCCUCACGACCGUCAAUUCGAGAUCUUCGUUUGUUCUUGAAUUGAUGGACCACUUGUUGUUGGGAUUUGACCACGAAUGUGGAGCUAGGCUUUGAUCCCAAACGUGGAGGAUGCAAACUUGCGACUCACCCCUUGGAGACGAAGAUUUCUUGCUAUGUGGAAGACUUGCGAAUCACCACUGUAGAGGAGAGCUUCAAU